rnacentral:rRNA from 1 species
GUAGGGGGCGAGCGUUAUCCGGAUUCAUUGGGCGUAAAGCGCGCGUAGGCGGCCCGCUAAGCGGGACCUCUAACCUGGGGGCUCAACCUCCAGCCGGGUCCCGAACUGGCGAGCUCGAGUGCGGUAGGGGCAGGCGGAAUUCCCGGUGUAGCGGUGGAAUGCGCAGAUAUCGGGAAGAACACCGAUGGCGAAGGCAGCCUGCUGGGCCGACACUGACGCUGAGGCGCGAAAGCUAGGGGAGCGAAC